UACGUAGGUGGCGAGCGUUGUCCGGAAUUACUGGGUGUAAAGGGAGCGUAGGCGGAGAGCAAGUCGACUGUGAAAUCUAUGGGCUUAACCCAUAGCUGCGAUCGAAACUGUUCAUCUUGAGUGAAGUAGAGACAGGCGGAAUUCCUAGUGUAGCGGUGAAAUGCGUAAAUAUUAGGAGGAACACCAGUGGCGAAGGCGGCCUGCUGGGCUUUAACUGACGCUGAGGCUCGAAAGCGUGGGUAGCAAACAGG
rnacentral:rRNA from 1 species